GACGAACGCUGGCGGCGUGCUUAACACAUGCAAGUCGAGCGGUAAGGCCCUUCGGGGUACACGAGCGGCGAACGGGUGAGUAACACGUGGGUGACCUGCCUCUAGCUCUGGGAUAAGCCUGGGAAACUGGGUCUAAUACCGGAUAUGACUCCACGGCGCAUGUUGUGGGGUGGAAAGCCUUGUGUGGCUAGAGAUGGGCCCGCGGCCUAUCAGCUUGUUGGUGGGGUGANGGCCUACCAAGGCGACGACGGGUAGCCGGCCUGAGAGGGCGACCGGCCACACUGGGACUGAGACACGGCCCAGACUCCUACGGGAGGCAGCAGUGGGGAAUCUUGCGCAAUGGGCGAAAGCCUGACGCAGCGACGCCGCGUGAGGGAUGACGGCCU
rnacentral:rRNA from 1 species